rnacentral:rRNA from 1 species
UACGAAGGGGGCGAGCGUUGUUCGGAAUUACUGGGCGUAAAGGGCGCGUAGGCGGUCCUGAUCGUCGGAUGUGAAAGGCCUGGGCUCAACCUGGGAAUGGCAUCCGAUACGGCGGGACUGGAGUGUGGGAGAGGUUGGUGGAAUUCCCAGUGUAGAGGUGAAAUUCGUAGAUAUUGGGAAGAACACCGGUGGCGAAGGCGGCCAACUGGACCACAACUGACGCUGAGGCGCGAAAGCGUGGGGAGCAAACAGG